GUCGGGAUUGGUUCAAGGAAUGUUGAGCGGGUCUUAA
rnacentral:tRNA from 1 species